rnacentral:lncRNA from 1 species
UUAAAAGGGAAUUUUAAAAUGAUCCCUAAAAAUCUGUUGUUUUAGGACGUGAAUCAGCUUAGAUCGUUAUAGAAUAGAUUGAUCUAGAUUGCUCUGUGAAAUCUUUACCUUAGACACUCAUUUUUACAUAACUUCAGAAGUCAACCAGCCCAACUUCUUUAUUUUACAUGUGAAAAAAACCAGUAUCAGGAAGGCAAGCCACCUUACUCAAAGUUAAAGAAAAAAAUCCAAACUGUAUUUGCAUCAUCCUUUAUCCACAUGGCUGCUACCAAAAUUCAAAUGAGAAAUAAGAUGAGAAUAAAUGGUGAGAGAAAGUUCAUGAAUAAGUUCCAUGGGCAGAUCAAUCUUCUCACUUUGGUUAUUCAGUAGAAUUUCUCAACAUAAAAUUAGCUGCUGUUAACUGCAUUCUAAUUCCUCAGUUCCCUAAUUUAGGGAGAAGAAACUGAAAAUACAUGGUUUCUCAAUUCAAUUUUGGUGGUAGACGUGUAGUAAAUAAAACCAAACUAUAAAACAUAAUGAAGAUGACAUCUAGCUCUCUGGCAUGAAUACUUGCAGGUAGCUCUUUGCAUGCCAUUUAAAGAAUCCUAGAAUGAGAUCUGAGAUUAGAGAAAAAUGUUUUAUGAGAAAAUAUUCAUCGGGAAGGUGUUAUUAGGAAGACAAGUUAUCAGAAUCUGCACCCAAAAAGAAUCUGAUUUAAGAAAUGGAUGUGUGAAUAUUUUUGCAGAAAAGGAUUUUUGUUAUCUACCAUAACUACAGGAUUAGCACACAGCAAUUUCAAAUCAGCCUAUGGCUAUGAUUUUUCUAGGCAAAUCAUGAUUAAAUUAUAAAGCAUUUAAUAUUAAAACUUGAUGGACAAAACUAAUGUGAGGAAAUUAAUCCAGAGCUUCGUUAAAGUCAAGAUAGAUCACAUAUAUCUUAUAUCCUUUAGCAACCGUAUCUGUCAGUCAGUCACAGAUGAUUAGACUCAUUCAGCUACAGACAUUUGGAGCUGGCAGAGACUCAGAGAUUAGUCUGGAUGGUUUGAACUUAUUCACUGCAAAGAGACAAGGAAAGUGGCAUAUCUGUCAAUGGAGCUGCCGUUGAACAGGGCUUGGGAAUUACUGCACUGCUAGGAAACAAGGCAACUUUAUAAAAGAGAAUUAAUUAUGCCAUGAUUCAUAGUCACUGGCUGUACUAUAAAUACUUUUAUGGAAGUGUUUUUCUUUUCCUUUUUCCUUCCCAUUUUUUUUUCCCCAGAAAGCCUGUGUGGAUGAAUAUUGCUUCCAGGAGUCACAUAAUUACAUCUAAAAUCAUAGAAUGUUAGAGCUGGAGGAAUCUUUAGAGUUUGCCCAAGGUCCUUCACCAGCAUUUUACAGAAGAUUCUUCGAUUUAACUGCUCUUAAUUACAUCCCGUUGCACUGGCCCCAUCAAGUUGCUUUAAACAGCCCUUCUAGUCAACAGAGCUGCAGAGAAAAACCUUGGUUGGUUCAGGUCACUAGGAUGCAGAGCUGUCACACUUCAUUUGUGAGAACACUCCAGAGCUUCCUCCAGCUGCUGAUUCCAAACCAGCUUCACAGUGCCUGGAUACAUGUUAUCUUCUGAGAAAGGCCAUCUCUAACCACUCUGUUCUUCCAGUACAAGCAAGCCGCUCCUGGGUCUUAUCUCUAUUUUAUCCACAGAACUCAUUUAUUUCCUUGCUUUUUAUACCUUUAUGCCUGAAUGGAUGUUCCUUGGAAGCAAAUUUUCCUUCUUUACUAUUUCAUUCCUAGUGUCUAUAACAUAAAAUAAGUGUUCCACAAAUUCUCGUAUGAUGAAAGAAUAAUAGAAUAUUAAUAUAAUAGAUAAAUUAAUAAAAUACGUUCACCUAUGUGCACUUUUACCUUAAAUAGUAAUAAUAAGCAGUUUUAACGUGUCUGAUGCUUUUCUAAUGCCAGUGCACAAUGCCUUCCUGUUUAUUUUGGGCCUCUUAGGCAGCCAGCUAACUAGGGAGCUCAUACCACUAAAUGAUUAUUGUGAGAACGGAGCAGGAAAGACAGGCAGUAGAUCCAGGAUUCAUCCAUUUGUAUUAUGUUAAAUACAAUGGUAAUCACACUAUUUUACCCAUUCUUCUCCUAGCUCCUUCUGAAUCCAAGGCAAAUAAACAAACUAUGCAAAGAAAUCAAACAUGACUUCUUCUUGGUCCUAUAAGAAGAUUGUUCAUGCUAUGCUUGUUAGAAGAGUUACAUGUAUACCUAUGAUCUUCGAAGACUAAAGAAAAUAUCAAGGAAACGUAUUUCAAUAAUGAUAUGGUCAAGACAUAGAGUUUCUUAUAUUAAUAAUACAAAGUUCACUUUCUGAAAAAAUGCACAUAUUGUUUAAGAUCGUCACAUAGUUUAUAUAUUUUAAUCGCUCCAUAAUUACGGAAUUAUUUUAAAUAAUAGCAAUAAUUAUAAUUGUAGUAUUUAAUGUCAAUAUUUCUACAAAUUAUAUUUAAGUAAAUAAGUAUAUUGUGAAAGGAGAGGGAUUCAGGAUCAGGGGUAUGUUCAAAAAUCUAUUUGUUUUUGUCAUUGUUGAAUAAAAAUCUCCCAUCUCAAAAUCUUUGUAAAAGGAUAUCCAUGGAAAAAAGAACCUAUUACUUUAUUCUCCAGUCAAAAUUAAAACUGGUUCACAAUGGCCACAUCUUCUAUUUAUACAUAAAACACAGCUUUUAACAUAGACUAAUUUUUGUCUGUUAAAAAUGAAAUUGAGAUUCAGUAAAGAUGGAUUCAAAUUCAAUACGUUAAAUCUAUUGUUUUAAAUAUACCAGGUCAUGUGUGCUCUCUCUUUUCCCUCCAACCCAUUUCACUCCCCUUCUUUCUCCUUUUGAACUGCUGACCCGAGUUAGUAGCCAAACAUAAUAAUACAGUGUUUGAUUCUCUGGAAACCCAUAAAAUUACAAACCAGCAACCACUAGGAUGUUGGCAGAAUUUCUGUGGACAGCAACCAGCAUGGUACUUUUUUUCUUUUUGAAAUGAAGCAGUACAUUGCAAUUGUUGAUACAGUACCAAGGAAGGGAAUAACGUCCACCAUAUGUCGCCCCCACCACCUAACUCUUUUGACUACUUGAGGUUGGGAGAGAGAAUUCAUCUAUUUAAAACAUGAAUGCCUUCUCUUUUAGCCUUUACUAUUUAAAGAUGCCUUUUUUCAUUUUUUUUAUUUUUAUUAAGCAGCAGUGGAGUUUUAUACUACUAUACUAAGUGCGACAGAAGAUAAACAUAUAAAUAAAACAUACCACUACAUGCCUUCAAGAAAAACAAAAUCUAAUAAAAUCUAAAAUCUAAUGGGAACUUCAAGUUUUACUGGAAAUUAGAGACUCUUUCUUCUCACUGCAACAGGAAUAUUUGAUUAGUCGUACAGCUGCAC